CAGAGGUUUUUUUGGAAUGCAGGGUGUGGCCCUCUAACACAGCGAAAAAGAAAUGAGUCAGCCCGGGCGAUCCUAACCAAUAAGCGUGUUCACUGUCGGCUAAGGCGGAACUUUCCUGUCUUGAUUUAUAUCAGCCUUUAAAAAAGAACUUGUUUGUUUUGUUUUGUUUUGUUUUUCCCGAACUUCAGCCUUAGCAACUUCCAAGAAAAUGGUCGAUAGCUCUUUAAAAACUCUUUCAAAACAAGAACUAAUCUCGUCAUGACAGACAGAUCCGUGGAGUCCAGCACGUUAGAGUGGAAAGAGCACUGCACCAGGAGUCCAGAGCUCCAGCACUAAUCCCAGCUGUGCCCACACGUGACCAGGAGCCCAGCGCUAAGUCAACCGUGACCAGGAGCCCAGCGCUAAGUCAACCGUGUCAUCUCUCUGAAGGGCUCCAAGAGUUCUUCCACCCGAAAGACCAACUUAUGGCCAAAAAGGGCAGGCGCAAGCUCUGCCACCGAGAGGUACUAUUCCAGAGUUGUAAAGCGUGUCAGGGAAAACUCACACUGGUUCCCCGUGGGGCCAUGCACCCACCCAAUGGUCAAGGUCUCCUGUUUGGCCAGUCUGCACUAGAACUACCUAGCUGGACUGGCGGGAAGAGCAGAAAGGUCUCCAGAAGGUGAGUUUACUUCCCCAAAGUAGAAAGAAGGGCUCAUUUGCCCAAAAACCACUACUGCCUGUCAAAUUCCACUUUAUGUCCAAGCAAAAGGUUAUCUAAACAACCCUCAGCCUGGUAAUACAUUACAUUCUAAAAGUUUGCUUCUCAAGUCUGAAGUCAAGGAACUCUCACGUGGCACUUGAAAUGCAUUUCACUCGAGACAAAACAUAGGCACUGGCUUCUCUGGCCCGUCUUUAAAAGCCUAUUUAACUUAUGAUUGAUCGCAAGUAUAAUGUUAGUUAUAAUAUUUCUAAUACUGUACUCAAACUUCAUUCUUCACAUUGUUCCUGCAGGAAAAUGUAUUUGAAAUUCCACCCAGAACGAGCAGAAAACAUGCUCAAUUUAAUCAUUUACUGAGAAUCUAGUCAUGACGGUGCCUUCCGUCACACACACAUUAUUUCCCGUUAACGUGUACACAGCACAGCAAGGUAGGUGUUAACAGCUGUACUGAGCCCACUGUGAACUGGGGGUCAAGAAGGUGUUGAGCCCAAAGUCAACCGCUAAGAUGAGUAGGGCCAGCUUCAAAGCCAUGUAUGUUUGACCCCGAAGCUGGGGCUAUGACAUCGGACCCCCGUACCUGCCAGGCAGGUGUGGGCUUAUGGCUGAGGAGACAGGGCUAGUGGUUCAGACUGUGUAAACACGGAGAUUUUCCUGCAAAAGAGAAAAGGACUAGUGGCCAGUCACUGUCAAUAACCAGACAUUAACUUCCUAUCUCCUUCCUUUUUUUUUUUUAAAGGCAGAGGCAGAGGGAGAAGCAGACUCCCCGCUGAGCUGAGCAGAGAGCCCGACAUGGGGCUUGAUCCCCUGACCCUGGGAUCAUGACCUGAGCCAAAGGCAGACGUCUCACUGGCUGAGCCACGCAGGCGCCCCUCUAUAUCCUUCCUCACAGAGGAUACUUCUCUGUGGUAGAACAAGAGAAAAUAUCUCUCUGGGUGGGCCCUAAGCUGUACCACUGCCUAUAUUUACAUGAAGAGCUUCUGAAAAUCAAAGGUCAAUAAACAGUGCCUUCAAAAUAAAAUUAUUGUGCCC
rnacentral:lncRNA from 1 species